GAUGAACGCUGGCGGCGUGCCUAAUACAUGCAAGUCGAGCGAACGGACGAGAAGCUUGCUUUUCUGAUGUUAGCGGCGGACGGGUGAGUAACACGUGGAUAACCUACCUAUAAGACUGGGAUAACUUCGGGAAACCGGAGCUAAUACCGGAUAAUAUUUUGAACCGCAUGGUUCAAAAGUGAAAGACGGUCUUGCUGUCACUUAUAGAUGGAUCCGCGCUGUAUUAGCUAGUUGGUAAGGUAACGGCUUACCAAGGCAACGAUGCAUAGCCGACCUGAGAGGAUGAUCAGUCGCUGGGGUACGGGGACGCGCACCCACAACGGGAGGGAGACACCGGCCAGACACCUACGGCAGGGAGCGGUAGGCUGACUGGGGCAAGGGGCGUGAGUCAGGCGCAUCUUCGCCGCGUGAACCUCUGUUAUCUGGGAGGAGUAUAGUUCUGUGAGUCGGUGCGAAUCUUGACGGUACCUAAAGAGAAAGCCCCGGCUAACUACGUG
rnacentral:rRNA from 1 species